AAGGCAGGUCGGGUAGAAUUGUUCUGUUCAAGCACUGGGGCAAUGAUAGUCUCAGUGUGAAGUGAAAACAAAUGAUUUGUGGAGGGGGAGAUGGUCGGGAGGCCAGAGCUCACUGUGACGCGUCAGCCUGGAUAUUCAUGUCCUUAAUAUUCACCCCUGAGCAAAUGUUUGAAAGUGUGUUCAUUUCAACAGGUGCAAAUUCAGCACGCCAAGGAAGAAUCGCUUGCUGAUGAUCUCUUUAGAUAUAAUCCUAAUGCAAAAAGAAGAAGAUAACUGAAGGUUUUAAAAAGAAGCUGUGAGGAACGAUUUCUAGCAAACACUUCACGCUAACUGGGUUAUAUACAUUUAGUAUAUAGAAGAAAUUUAAGUCACAAAUAUUUUAUGGCCUAAGUUUGUUUAAUAAAAUGGACAAAACUCUGUUCCUUUCUUGUGUAA